rnacentral:rRNA from 1 species
GGCGACGGUUGUCCCGGUUUAAGCGUGUAGGCUGAUUUUCCAGGCAAAUCCGGAAAAUCAAGGCUGAGGCGUGAUGACGAGGCACUACGGUGCUGAAGCAACAAAUGCCCUGCUUCCAGGAAAAGCCUCUAAGCAUCAGGUAACAUCAAAUCGUACCCCAAACCGACACAGGUGGUCAGGUAGAGAAUACCAAGGCGCUUGAGAGAACUCGGGUGAAGGAACUAGGCAAAAUGGUGCCGUAACUUCGGGAGAAGGCACGCUGAUAUGUAGGUGAAGCGACUUGCUCGUGGAGCUGAAAUCAGUCGAAGAUACCAGCUGGCUGCAACUGUUUAUUAAAAACACAGCACUGUGCAAACACGAAAGUGGACGUAUACGGUGUGACGCCUGCCCGGUGCCGGAAGGUUAAUUGAUGGGGUUAGCGGUAACGCGAAGCUCUUGAUCGAAGCCCCGGUAAACGGCGGCCGUAACUAUAACGGUCCUAAGGUAGCGAAAUUCCUUGUCGGGUAAGUUCCGACCUGCACGAAUGGCGUAAUGAUGGCCAGGCUGUCUCCACCCGAGACUCAGUGAAAUUGAACUCGCUGUGAAGAUGCAGUGUACCCGCGGCAAGACGGAAAGACCCCGUGAACCUUUACUAUAGCUUGACACUGAACAUUGAGCCUUGAUGUGUAGGAUAGGUGGGAGGCUUUGAAGUGUGGACGCCAGUCUGCAUGGAGCCGACCUUGAAAUACCACCCUUUAAUGUUUGAUGUUCUAACGUUGGCCCGUUAUCCGGGUUGCGGACAGUGUCUGGUGGGUAGUUUGACUGGGGCGGUCUCCUCCUAAAGAGUAACGGAGGAGCACGAAGGUUGGCUAAUCCUGGUCGGACAUCAGGAGGUUAGUGCAAUGGCAUAAGCCAGCUUGACUGCGAGCGUGACGGCGCGAGCAGGUGCGAAAGCAGGUCAUAGUGAUCCGGUGGUUCUGAAUGGAAGGGCCAUCGCUCAACGGAUAAAAGGUACUCCGGGGAUAACAGGCUGAUACCGCCCAAGAGUUCAUAUCGACGGCGGUGUUUGGCACCUCGAUGUCGGCUCAUCACAUCCUGGGGCUGAAGUAGGUCCCAAGGGUAUGGCUGUUCGCCAUUUAAAGUGGUACGCGAGCUGGGUUUAGAACGUCGUGAGACAGUUCGGUCCCUAUCUGCCGUGGGCGCUGGAGAACUGAGGGGGGCUGCUCCUAGUACGAGAGGACCGGAGUGGACGCAUCACUGGUGUUCGGGUUGUCAUGCCAAUGGCACUGCCCGGUAGCUAAAUGCGGAAGAGAUAAGUGCUGAAAGCAUCUAAGCACGAAACUUGCCCCG